rnacentral:rRNA from 1 species
GAUGAACGCUGGCGGCGUGCCUAAUACAUGCGAGUCGAGCGAACGGACGAGAAGCUUGCUUCUCUGAUGUUAGCGGCGGACGGGUGAGUAACACGUGGAUAACCUACCUAUAAGACUGGGAUAACUUCGGGAAACCGGAGCUAAUACCGGAUAAUAUUUUGAACCGCAUGGUUCAAAAGUGAAAGACGGUCUUGCUGUCACUUAUAGAUGGAUCCGCGCUGCAUUAGCUAGUUGGUAAGGUAACGGCUUACCAAGGCAACGAUGCAUAGCCGACCUGAGAGGGUGAUCGGCCACACUGGAACUGAGACACGGUCCAGACUCCUACGGGAGGCAGCAGUAGGGUAUCUUCCGCAAUGGGCGAAAGCCUGACGGAGCAACGCCGCGUGAGUGAUGAAGGUCUUCGGAUCGUAAAACUCUGUUAUUAGGGAAGAACAUAUGUGUAAGUAACUGUGCACAUCUUGACGGUACCUAAUCAGAAAGCCACGGCUAACUACGUG